rnacentral:rRNA from 1 species
CCUACGGGAGGCAGCAGUGAGGAAUAUUGGUCAAUGGGCGAGAGCCUGAACCAGCCAAGUCGCGUGAAGGAUGACGGUCCUACGGGUUGUAAACUUCUUUUGCCGGGGAGCAACAGGGUCCACGCGAGGUCCUAAUGAGAGUACCUGAAGAAAAAGCAUCGGCUAACUCCGUGCAAGCCGCCGCGGUAAUACGGAGGAUGCGAGCGUUAUCCGGUUUUAUUGGGUUUAAAGGGUGCGUAGGCGGGCUGUUAAGUCAGCGGUCAACAGUCGGGGCUCAACCCCGGACUGCCGUUGAAACUGGCGGCCUUGAGUGGGCGAGAAGUAUGCGGAAUGCGUGGUGUAGCGGUGAAAUGCAUAGAUAUCACGCAGAACUCCGAUUGCGAAGGCAGCAUACCGGCGCCCGACUGACGCUGAGGCACGAAAGCGUGGGUAUCGAACAGGAUUAGAUACCCGUGUAGUC